rnacentral:sRNA from 1 species
AUGGCGUCUGGAAGUGAAGAUGAUACAGAUAUAUUCAACAUAUUAGAAGAAAUAGGAAUGAAGGAAUACAAGAAUGUGUUCAAGGAAAACAUGAUCAGAAUUCAGGAUGUAGUUGAACUUACAGAAAAAGAUUUUGAAAAGCUUGGGGUUACAGCAAUUGGACUUCAACUAAGAUUAAAGCAAGCUUGUCGAAAUCACCUUCAAGCCAAAAGUGAAGAUACUUCACCAGUGCUUAAAAAAUUCUUCGAUUUGAAAAGAGAAAGAGUACGUAUACAGAAAACAAAGAAAAUUAAGAGGCAUUUCAAACCAACUAGAAGAAUUUAUUGUGGGUGGAAACAUGCAGUGAGGUCUGAUGUGUUCAAAGUUGUUACCUUGAGCAAAGGCGGUGGACAACAAAUUAUUGAUGUGUCAAAAGAUACAACCUAUGAAGUCCUUGAAAAACAAAUCCUUGAUCUGUACUUUCCAACGGCAAGAUCAAUGGCCCAGAAUCUCAAGCUGUCCGACCUGAAUCAUUAUUUGGCAUCCUUUUCUGGGGAUCCACUACCUCGAAGCUUUCAAAACAAUCAUGAAUUUAAGGUUGGAAAUUAUUUUGACCAUAUCAAGACAUAUCCAGUUAGAGUGUACUUACAUACUACAAAAAAAGAUGAAGAUGAUGACAAUUAUCUACCUGAUAUAUCGAAGAGUUCUCCAGGUCCCUCUAAAGACAUGGAAAGUCAGUCAUUAAGCCUGUCUAGUGAGCUGGAAGACCCGCAGUUGCUGCCAGGCACAUCACGCAUGUUUGAUGCAGUUUGUACUGAUGAAGGAUCAGAUGCAGAAUUUGAAAAUGCUGGUACUCCUGUGAUAUUUUUCAAAAAGUCAACCCAGACUCGUUUGACUUCAACUCCUAAACCUGAGAAGAAUGGUAACAAACCCUUUUUGUCUGAAGAUUUAGAUGGAGACAUGCAAAUGCAGGAAGCUAUAUGUGCUAGUUUAGAAAUGAUGCAGCAACCACAGCAUUUCAUUGACCUUGAUUUUAGAAAGUGGACAAUGAACACACUCAAAGGUGAGGAGGAGGAAAAUGUAAAGCAGUUAAUUGUGGUACACAGGAGACAUGUACUGAAUUCAGCUCUGAGGGCUUUGAACAGGGCAUCAUUUAAGUUGGAGGAACCAUUCAAAGUAGAAUUUCCUGGUGAAUUGGGAGCAGAUUACGGAGGGCCAAAGAUGGAGUUUUUAAGUUGUCUUAUGAAGGAGCUUGCAAAUGCAGUUCUGGAAGGAGAACCUUAUAAUAAGACUUUCAUCCACUCUGUCCCACUGUUAGACAAGGAAAUGUUUUUCAAAGCAGGAAGGAUGAUUGUAUGGAGUAUUCUCCAUGGGGGGCCAGGCUUCCCUUUUCUGAAUCAAACUCUGUACCAGCUUUUAAUUGAACCCAAAGAUGUUGUCUAUUCCACUGAUGAUGUCAUAGACCUUGAUGUGAAAAAUAAAAUACAAAAGCUGCAAGCUGCAGAUGAGGAAGAACUAAAUCUUUUGUCAGAUUGGAUGGUGGAACAAGGAGUCUAUGGUGUUGUUCCACCAUACACAGAACAGAAGAGGGAUUGUAUGGCAAGACAAUUGUUGGGGAGUCAUGUUUACCUAAGAAUCCAUGCAGAAAUUGCACAGUUCCGGAAAGGAUUGAACACUUUAGAAUUUUACACAAUUAUGAAGAGCAAUUCUGAGGAAGUAAGGGGGCUUUUUCUUCACAUGUUGUCUAACAGUAUGGUAACCAUGCAGAAAAUGAAAGAAAUCAUACACAUUAACUACAGUGAAUAUGGUUCAAAUGACAAGAGGAAGGAAGAAGAUACUAUGUAUGCUUUUGAACUUUUCCUGCAAGAUUGUUCAGAAGAUACAUCUGAAAUCAAUCUGAAUAUGCUAUUGGCUUUUUGGACUGGAGCUGAAACAAUCCCUCCAUUAGGGUUUCACAAAAAGCUUGAAAUUAAAUUUGUUGAAGACCCUGCUCUGUUGCCAGUUGCACAUACAUGCGAUCUUUUACUGGAAUAUCCAGAGGAGAAACCCCUGAAGAACUUCACAGGAAAAUGGAGUUGGCCAUCACUUGUGGCGGGGAAUUCCAUCUUGCUUAAGAAGAGGAACUUUAUUUAA